UGGGGAAUUUUGGACAAUGGGGGCAACCCUGAUCCAGCCAUGCCGCGUGCGGGAAGAAGGCCUUCGGGUUGUAAACCGCUUUUAGCCGGAAAGAAAAGGCAUCCCCUAAUACGGGGUGUCCUUGACGGUACCGGCGGAAUAAGCACCGGCUAACUACGUGCCAGCAGCCGCGGUAAUACGUAGGGUGCGAGCGUUAAUCGGAAUUACUGGGCGUAAAGCGUGCGCAGGCGGUUCGUUAAGUCAGAUGUGAAAGCCCCGGGCUCAACCUGGGAAUGGCAUUUGAAACUGGCGGGCUGGAGUGUGGCAGAGGGGGGUGGAAUUCCGCGUGUAGCAGUGAAAUGCGUAGAGAUGCGGAGGAACACCGAUGGCGAAGGCAGCCCCCUGGGCCAACACUGACGCUCAGGCACGAAAGCGUGGGGAGCAAACA
rnacentral:rRNA from 1 species